CUGAGACUCCAGGAAAGUGGCAGUUCUGUAAAAUGUUGGCGCUGGAGACUAAAUGCUCACUGAUAGUUUCACACCUAAUUCACUUAAAACACACACAAACACACACACACAGUGACAGAGGGACAGAGUGACAUCAGAUGUAUGUUUUUUAAUUUUCUGUCAUCCAUAUAAUGUUGUAUAGUCAUGAAACUAUGCAUAUUUCCUCAGAAUGACUUGUCUUCUAUGUGUACAUUUUUUUGAAGUGUUUAGAAGCUGCACUUUUUUUUACUGGUUCCUUUUUUACUAUUAUUUCAAAAAAUCACCACGACAAAACCAUUCAAGCUAUCCAAAAUUCAUUCACACCUGUUCUGUAAGAUUAAUUCUUUAAACAGUGGUAAAAGAGGAUGUGGUGCUGAACCUUCAAGAGUCACUUAAAACGUAUCUGUCCAUAAAGCCUAUUAAGAAUUAUUCUUAAUAUACAGUUCACAAUACUUCAGCUUGUUAUUCUAAUUAAGUGAGGGUCAUUUUAUCAGUAAAAUUCCUAAAAUACAUAUUAUUUUAUUUGAAAGAUUUCUAUAAAUUAUUUAAAUCAUACUCGUUUCUCCAAUAAUUAUUUAAAAGUAAUCCUAUAGCUCCCUCUGGUGGCCAUUAUAGGUACUAAGAAUUGCAAGCUUGAUUUAUAAGUUAUGAUAGUUUUAAUUUUAUGCUGGCUCUUGAAAAUGAUAAAGCUAUGAAACUUACUGUGCUUCCUUCAAAUGAGGACUUCUACUUAUAUAAAAAAUUAUGAAGAGUUAGAAUGAAAAAUUUUAAAGAUAUAGUAAAAUAACUAUUGUAUUUUUUAUGUUACUUUAAUAAAUCUCUAUGGCAACACCAUUUAAGCUAUCCUAAACCCAUUCACAAUUUAACAUCUCAGUAUAUUGGCAUCAUGUUGAAAAAGGAGUAUGGAGUAGUAUGAGGAGGAGUAUGAAUUCAUUUACAGGCUGAUUUUAUCAUAAAUCCACAAUAAAAUUUCUGAGUUCUGUAUCAAUCUGUGUUGUUGUUUGUUUAUUUUUAUCUUUUAUUUUUCAUAGGAAGAUAACUGACCCUUUACUCUCCUUUUUAAUAAAUGUGCUUAUAAACCAAGGACAAGCUAUUUAUAGCUGUAUUUAUAAACUGCUUACUACUGACUAUUAAUAUUGGGACAAGGCUUUAUAAAGCAUGAACUGACUAUUUACUAAUGAGUGCAGUUAUUAUAAAGUGUUAUCAAUGAAUUUGCUAAUGUUAACAAAUUAGACAUUAUUUUACAGUGUUAUCAAAUCCUUAAAUGACUCAUAAGCAUUUGUGAAAGUUCUGCUUGCAUUACAGCUUAGUAUUGAUCUGUGAGCUGAACAGAUUUACUGUUACAUCUAUGAGAUUAUGUAAAUUCAAAUAAAUAUAAUGUCACAGGAUGUCAUAGGUCAGUAUCAAAUGAGUUUGAAAUUAUUAUUUGCAGCACAAAUAAGUUUUUUUUUAGGAUUUUUAAAAAUCCCUAAAACUGUCAGAAAAAGGUUAAGGCCUAAGCUAUUUCUAUGUGAGUGGCUAAAUUUAUUUUUGUUUUUAUAAUUGUAAUACACAAACUAUGAAAUUAUACAAAAUGUAUAAAAAGGUAAAUAAAUAAAUACGCACACAUUAAAAAAGCAGCCAAGUCGAAUGAGUUUCCUUUUUUAUAUAGAUUAAAAUUGAAGACAGAAGCAAGUGGUAAAUGUGGUCACUUUAAUAUUCAAAUCCAGUAGAUCCAGUUUAUGUUCACGUGGCUGUUUUCGUUUAUAGUCGCCAAGCUAUUAUGUAUUUUGAAAUAAUCUUGUCCGUUAUGUGUUCGUUCGUACGACGAAAGGCAGAAUCCUGCAGCUCGAGAGAUAUGUUAUUCUGCCAGUCGCGCUUUCAAAUAGUCUUGCACACUUAAACAGGUCACAAACACCUGCAUUUAGCUCUUGUUGUGUUACAAUGGGUUUAUUGUGUGCAUUUGUGGUAAUAUUUUAUUUAAAAAAGCUCUUAAACAAGAAUAAAUUCGUUUGUUUUGAGCUGGACACUGUACGCGCUGAUCGGAG